rnacentral:tRNA from 1 species
UUUAGUUUAGCAAAAAAAUGCAAGUGAUUUAGAGUCAAAAGAUAACUUUUAAAAAGUAAUUAAAA